GUAUCCAUAAUGACAAAAUCAACAACAUUGCUUGAAAAUGCUAAACAAAAUGAAUGAAAACUCAUUAUAGUAUUAUUGAAAUUGAGAUCC